rnacentral:rRNA from 1 species
AGAGUUUGAUCCUGGCUCAGGAUGAACGCUGGCGGCGUGCUUAACACAUGCAAGUCGAACGAACCUUCGGGUGAGUGGCGGACGGGUGAGUAACGCGUGGGAAUCUGCCCUCAGGAGGGGGAUAACGGCUGGAAACGGCCGCUAAUACCCCAUAUGCCGAGAGGUGAAAUGAAUUUCGCCUGAGGAUGAGCCCGCGUCUGAUUAGCUAGUUGGUGAGGUAAGAGCUCACCAAGGCAUCGAUCAGUAGCUGGUCUGAGAGGAUGAUCAGCCACACUGGGACUGAGACACGGCCCAGACUCCUACGGGAGGCAGCAGUGGGGAAUUUUCCGCAAUGGGCGAAAGCCUGACGGAGCAACGCCGCGUGAGGGAUGAAGGCCUCUGGGCUGUAAACCUCUUUUCUCAAGGAAGAAGAUCUGACGGUACUUGAGGAAUAAGCCACGGCUAAUUCCGUGCCAGCAGCCGCGGUAAUACGGGAGUGGCAAGCGUUAUCCGGAAUUAUUGGGCGUAAAGCGUCCGCAGGCGGCCCUUCAAGUCUGCUGUUAAAACGUGGAGCUUAACUCCAUCAUGGCAGUGGAAACUGUUGGGCUCGAGUGUGGUAGGGGCAGAGGGAAUUCCCGGUGUAGCGGUGAAAUGCGUAGAUAUCGGGAAGAACACCAGUGGCGAAGGCGCUCUGCUGGGCCAUAACUGACGCUCAUGGACGAAAGCCAGGGGAGCGAAAGGGAUUAGAUACCCCUGUAGUCCUGGCCGUAAACGAUGAACACUAGGUGUCGGGGGAAUCGACCCCCUCGGUGUCGUAGCCAACGCGUUAAGUGUUCCGCCUGGGGAGUACGCACGCAAGUGUGAAACUCAAAGGAAUUGACGGGGGCCCGCACAAGCGGUGGAGUAUGUGGUUUAAUUCGAUGCAACGCGAAGAACCUUACCAGGGUUUGACAUCCUGCGAACCUCUUGGAAACGAGAGGGUGCCUUCGGGAGCGCAGUGACAGGUGGUGCAUGGCUGUCGUCAGCUCGUGUCGUGAGAUGUUGGGUUAAGUCCCGCAACGAGCGCAACCCACGUCUUUAGUUGCCAGCAUUUAGUUGGGCACUCUAGAGAGACCGCCGGUGAUAAACCGGAGGAAGGUGUGGAUGACGUCAAGUCAUCAUGCCCCUUACAUCCUGGGCUACACACGUACUACAAUGCUACGGACAAAGAGCAGCAAGUUCGCGAGGACAAGCAAAUCUCAUAAACCGUGGCUCAGUUCAGAUCGUAGGCUGCAACUCGCCUACGUGAAGGAGGAAUCGCUAGUAAUCGCAGGUCAGCAUACUGCGGUGAAUACGUUCCCGGGCCUUGUACACACCGCCCGUCACACCAUGGAAGUUGGCCACGCCCGAAGCCGUUACUCCAACCCUUGUGGAGGAGGACGUCGAAGGUGGGGCUGAUGACUGGGGUGAAGUCGUAACAAGGUAGCCGUACCGGAAGGUGCGGCUG